GAUGAACGCUGGCGGCGUGCCUAAUACAUGCAAGUCGAGCGAACAGACGAGGCGCUUGCUCCUCUGACGUUAGCGGCGGACGGGUGAGUAACACGUGGAUCACCUACCUAUAAGACUGGGAUAACUUCGGGAAACCGGAGCUAAUACCGGAUAAUAUAUUGAACCGCCUGGUUCAAUAGUGACAGCCGGUUUUGCUGUCACUUAUAGAUGGCUCCGCGUCGCAUUAGCUAGUUGGUAAGGUAACGGCUUACCAAGGCAACGAUGCGUAGCCGACAUGAGAGGGUGAUCGGCCACACUGGAACUGAGACACGGUCCAGACGCCAACGGGAGGCAGCAGUAGGGAAUCUUCCGCAAUGGGCGAAAGCUUGACGGAGCAACGCCGCGUGAGUGAUGAAGGUCUUCGGAUCGUAAAACUCUGUUAUUAGGGAAGAACAAAUGUGUAAGUAACUAUGCACGUCCUGACGGUACCUAAUCAGAAAGCCACGGCUAACUACGUG
rnacentral:rRNA from 1 species